rnacentral:rRNA from 1 species
UACAGAGGUCUCAAGCGUUGUUCGGAUUCAUUGGGCGUAAAGGGUGCGUAGGUGGCGCGGUAAGUCGGGUGUGAAAUUUCGGAGCUUAACUCCGAAACUGCAUUCGAUACUGCCGUGCUUGAGGAUUGGAGAGGAGACUGGAAUUUACGGUGUAGCAGUGAAAUGCGUAGAGAUCGUAAGGAAGACCAGUGGCGAAGGCGGGUCUCUGGACAGUUCCUGACACUGAGGCACGAAGGCCAGGGGAGCAAACGGG